rnacentral:rRNA from 1 species
UACGUAGGGGGCAAGCGUUGUCCGGAAUUAUUGGGCGUAAAGAGCUCGUAGGCGGUUUGUCGCGUCUGCCGUGAAAGUCCGGGGCUCAACUCCGGAUCUGCGGUGGGUACGGGCAGACUAGAGUGAUGUAGGGGAGACUGGAAUUCCUGGUGUAGCGGUGAAAUGCGCAGAUAUCGGGAGGAACACCGAUGGCGAAGGCAGGUCUCUGGGCAUUAACUGACGCUGAGGAGCGAAAGCAUGGGGAGCGAACAGGA